rnacentral:rRNA from 1 species
AACCUCCGCAAUGUGAGAAAUCGCGACGGGGGGAUCCCAAGUGCCAUUCUUAACGGGAUGGCUUUUCAUUAGUGUAAAGAGCUUUUGGAAUAAGAGCUGGGCAAGACCGGUGCCAGCCGCCGCGGUAACACCGGCAGCUCUAGUGGUAGCAAUUUUUAUUGGGCCUAAAGCGUCCGUAGCCGGUUUAAUAAGUCCCUGGUGAAAUCCUGUAGCUUAACUGUGGGAAUUGCUGGAGAUACUAUUAGACUUGAGACCGGGAGAGGUUAGAGGUACUCCCAGGGUAGAGGUGAAAUUCUGUAAUCCUGGGAGGACCGCCUGUUGCGAAGGCGUCUAACUGGAACGGUUCUGACGGUGAGGGACGAAAGUUAGGGGCGCGAACCGGAUUAGAUACCCGGGUAGUCCUAACUGUAAACGAUGCGGACUUGGUGUUGGGGUGGCUUUGAGCUGCUCCAGUGCCGAAGGGAAGCUGUUAAGUCCGCCGCCUGGGAAGUACGGUCGCAAGACUGAAACUUAAAGGAAGU